rnacentral:rRNA from 1 species
GUGGGGAAUAUUGCGCAAUGGGGGAAACCCUGACGCAGCGACGCCGCGUGGGUGAGGAAGGUUUUCGGAUCGUAAAGCCCUGUCAAGUGGGAAGAAGAAAGUGACGGUACCACUAAAGGAAGCACCGGCUAACUCCGUGCCAGCAGCCGCGGUAAUACGGAGGGUGCAAGCGUUAUUCGGAUUUAUUGGGCGUAAAGAGAGCGUAGGCGGUUUGUUAAGUCAGAGGUGAAAGCCCCAGGCUCAACCUGGGAAGUGCCUUUGAAACUGGCAGACUUGAGUACGAGAGAGGGUAGCGGAAUUCCAAGUGUAGAGGUGAAAUUCGUAGAUAUUUGGAGGAACACCGGUGGCGAAGGCGGCUACCUGGAUCGAUACUGACGCUGAGGAUCGAAAGCGUGGGGAGCAAACAGG